rnacentral:rRNA from 1 species
GACGAACGCUGGCGGCGUGCUUAACACAUGCAAGUCGAGCGGUAAGGCCCUUUCGGGGGUACACGAGCGGCGAACGGGUGAGUAACACGUGGGUGACCUGCCCUCAGCUCUGGGAUAAGCCUGGGAAACUGGGUCUAAUACUGGAUAUGACUCCACGGUGCAUGUCGUGGGUGGAAAGCCUUGUGCGGCUGAGGAUGGGCCCGCGGCCUAUCAGCUUGUUGGUGGGGGAUGGCCUACCAAGGCGACGACGGGUAGCCGGCCUGAGAGGGCGACCGGCCACACUGGGACUGAGACACGGCCCAGACUCCUACGGGAGGCAGCAGUGGGGAAUCUUGCGCAAUGGGCGAAAGCCUGACGCAGCGACGCCGCGUGAGGGAU